rfam:TPA: Bos taurus chromosome 21, whole genome shotgun sequence.
AAAGUGGCUUAUGCAACAGCCAUGGACUGGUUCAUAGCCGUGUGUUACGCUUUU